AUGGCCUGGGCCCCUCUCCUCCUCGCCCUCCUUGCUCACAGCUCAGGGCCCGGGGUGCAGGCUCGGCUGACGCAGGAAGCCUCGCUGUCAAGGCCUCUGAGCCAGAAGGUCACCCUGACCUGCAAGGGGGACAGCAACAAUGUUGGAACAUAUACUGUGGGCUGGUACCAGCAGGUCUCAGGUGGGGCCCCCAAAACGGUGAUGCUCGGAAGCUCCCGGCCCUCGGGGAUCCCGGAUCGGUUCUCUGGCUCCAAGUCAGGCAACACGGCUUCGCUGGACAUCUCUGACGUGAAGCCUGAGGACGAGGGUGACUAUUACUGUUCAGCAUGGGACCAUGGCAUCAGCAAUCACACAGUGCUCCACCCCAACGGGGAACUGAGACAGAAACCCGCCCUGGUCCCCCUGGUCGCCCAUGAACGCCAAGAGACAGAAGCGGUGGCCGUGGCAGACCCUACAGUGUCCCACUCGAGAGUCACUCUGAGCACAGGCUCGCUCUAUUAUGUUAUUAAUUUCUGA